UACGGGGGGAGCAAGCGUUGUUCGGAUUUACUGGGCGUAAAGGGCGCGUAGGCGGUCAGCACAAGUCAGUUGUGAAAUCUCCGGGCUUAACUCGGAAAGGUCAACUGAUACUGUGCGACUAGAGUGCGGAAGGGGCAACUGGAAUUCUCGGUGUAGCGGUGAAAUGCGUAGAUAUCAAGAGGAACACCUGCGGCGAAGGCGGGUUGCUGGGCCGACACUGACGCUGAUAGCGCGAAAGCUAGGGGAGCGAACGGG
rnacentral:rRNA from 1 species